GCAACGCGGCGGUAAGAAUCCUUGGUGAUGCGGUAAGGAUUCUCGGUGAUGCGAUAAGGAAGGUGGAGUGGAAGCGAAAGUACAACGAGCGGUAGGAACCGGACGUGAUACGGUAGAGAUGAACGCGAAGGUGGUUUGAUGCGACGACACACGGGAGAUGGCUCGGCCCGUGAUACGGUCAACUAGUCGAUGUCGAACCCGGUUCGAGAUCGGCUAGGGUUUCUCGGUAGUCAAGUCCCGGACUUGGACUAAGGAGAGAGGUGAGACAAGAACAAGAUUCUCUCUUGUGAAAUUUAAUUCAAUACUUCAAGUCUGCCUUUUACAAUGAGGGUUUAGGCCUUUAUAUAGGAAGGCUUACAAAUGGGAGACUCUAAAACCCUAGACACGCGGCCAGGAUCUCAUCCUUACACUUGGCCAUAAAGCAAAAGCAAAAGUAAAACAAAGGAAAGACCAAUCCAACGGUCAUAGAAGGUUCAAGAAGAAAUUCAAAGGAAGGGAAGGGAGAGAGAUAGAAAAGCCACGUCAUUGGCUGGACGCGGUGAUAGGAUCUUCACUUCCUUGGCUCCUAAACUUGUCAAUGAUUGUUUCCAAGUCAUGAGCCAAGCGGGAACGAAGUGGAGAUGCACUAGAGUUCGCUGCCUCGUUAAAACCUCUUUGGUAAACCCAUUGGGACAAACCCAAAGUAGGGAAAAGAGUACAGCUCCUUCUAAUGACUUAGGGGCGUCUUCACGCUUGCGCGAUGGUGAAGACUCGCGAACUAAGCUUCCCAAAGCUGGUCGCAACUCAAGGCUCUUAAGUGGUGAUGCUAGCCAUGAGCCAUUGGUGUGAGGGUUGAAGCUUGGAUUGCAAAGCCCAUUAGAUGACUUUACUUGCUCCUCCUUGAUGAUCCUUGGAAACUAGUUGGUACCGCGCAUCACUAGGAAGGCCGGUUCCAAGUUGUCGAUAAGUGUCCGAGAGGCGUCCAAGUGUUGUCCGAGAGGUGGUUGAGAGACGUCCGAGAGAAUCGAGUGUUCACGGCCGAGUGGUCGAUCCCGUGAUCACAU